rnacentral:rRNA from 1 species
GACGAACGCUGGCGGCGUGCUUAACACAUGCAAGUCGAACGGUAAGGCCCUUCGGGGUACACGAGUGGCGAACGGGUGAGUAACACGUGGGUGAUCUGCCCUGCACUUCGGGAUAAGCCUGGGAAACUGGGUCUAAUACCGGAUAGGACCACUGCCUGCAUGGGUGGUGGUGGAAAGCUUUUGCGGUGUGGGAUGGGCCCGCGGCCUAUCAGCUUGUUGGUGGGGUGAUGGCCUACCAAGGCGACGACGGGUAGCCGGCCUGAGAGGGUGACCGGCCACACUGGGACUGAGAUACGGCCCAGACUCCUACGGGAGGCAGCAGUGGGGAAUAUUGCACAAUGGGCGCAAGCCUGAUGCAGCGACGUCGCGUGAGGGAUGACGGCCUUCGGGUUGUAAGCCUCUUUCAGCACCGACGAAGCGCAAGUGACGGUAGGUGCAGAAGAAGGACCGGCCAACUACGUGCCAGCAGCCGCGGUAA